UAUUACACUAACAGCAGUAUUGUUGUUUCUGACAUUACCAGCUGGCAGAGAUCACAGUGGUCUUUUAAAAUCUAAACCCAGAGGGAAUAAUUCUGAGACCGAGCCAUCAAAUUUGGAAUACAUCCCAUAUCUGGACUCAAACACCAGGUUCUGGCUCUGACUCUGCUCUUCCUUGUUCAGAAGCACAAACCAAGGUAGAGCUUCAAGAUCCAGAGUCAUGGAGCAGUCCCUCCUUGAAUCCAGAUUGCACCAGGAUUAAAAUUCUCCAUUCCACAUUCGCCUUGAAGAGAGCUGGCUGGAAGACUCCAAGGUGGAGCCAGGGAAUGAACUAAAAACUAUGUGGACAACCAGAAGGUUCAAUACUCAACUGAGACUGCUGGUCCUCUUUUCCUGAGCAGCAAAGGUAAAGAUAAUGAUUUGUUAAGCAGCAAAGGUAUGCCUUUGAUUCCUGUCCCAAGCUGCCAAGGAAAAUGUGGAUCCCUCUAAAUAUAUACCUGACACUCCCUGCAAAGGGAGACUCAAG
rnacentral:lncRNA from 12 species